CACAAAACAUGGGGGAAGUACGGUGAGAGCACUGUGGAGUCCGAAUGGUGCCGUCUUGACAAAAGAAAGUCAUUCAGGUUUGGAACGACAUGACGGUCUUCACCAGAACCAGAACUUCCCCAUCUGUGCAACACCUAGUGAACCCAGACGGAAGCUAUUGAGGUGGAAAAUACAGGAGAGGACCUGACAAGAUAAAGAUAUCAGGAGCAGACAAGGGCAAAGUAACAUAUUGAUGGAGCGGGCCUCAGUUGGCUGACACCAGAUACUUGCUAUUUAAAAACAGUGGUUUCGCUUGCUCAUGGAUUUGCUGCUGCCACUGUCGUUCUCUUUCUCUUUCUCUCGAACUCGCGCUGUCUGAGUCUGGAGCUCCAUCCCCCCCUUGCUGUGUAAAGCUGCGACCCCCUUUUACAGUGUGUCAAACAGACAAAUACUGUCACCCCUAUAACCACUUUUGUGGCCUCCUUCAGGUCUCUUUCCCAGCUUUGUGAAUAAGCUCUCCGACUAAUGGAAUUUCAGGCUGUGCCAGAUUAUAAGAGCACAAUAGAAUAUUUGUUUGUCCAAUUCACUUUUAAGCACUUAGAUUCAGUGGAGCAUGAGACACGCAGAACCCUAGAUAACUCCCUUUGGCUGUGCGCCACUUUUCUUUUUUUUGCAAUGAUAGUGCAGGACAAAACAGCUAGUAGUAUGUGUUUCUAUUUAAACCGAGGACAUCUGAACAGCUGAAGAAGCUAAAGGUGCAGUCACAUUAGCGAGAUUUCUGUGAAAUAUCGCUGGCAAAAAAAGACCCACUGGCUGUUGUCAGUAGUGUAGCGAUUGUAUGAAGCACAGCUCACACCAAACAGCUUUCUGUUGGUCAACAUGGAGAAUUCGACCAACUUGGACCGUAACAAAAUUCCCAAUCACAUGGAUUUCACCUACAAAAAUUUGCCAGACAAUGAUAAAAACAACCGCACCUUAAUGCUAACAUUAUACCAUGUCACCAUUCCACCCAAUGAAAACCUGACUGUUUUAGGAAGUGGUGAUUUCUUAUGGAAACAUACUUUUUGGAGGAAAAUGCAAGCUUGAAGGGCCACCCCUAACGUCUGUCCUAACUACAUUUGCCACGACACGCAAUAAAAGGUAUCUGUUCCAUGAUAGGGCUGUUUGUCCUGAACAGUUAAACUGCCCGCUGUUCUUCAAGUCCUUCAGGUCCCACAGAUUUUUUGGUUUUUUAGCAUUUUUGUGCAUUUAAAGGCUUUCCAACAAUGACUGUACGAUUUUUAAAUCCAUCUUUUCAUACUGAGGACAACUGAGGGACUCAUAUGCAACUAUUACAGAAGAUUCAAACACUCACUGAUGCUCCAGAAGGAAAAACAAUGCUUUAAAAGCUGGGGGGUGAAAACUUUUGACAGAAUGAGGAUGUUUACGUAUUUCCUAUUUUGCCUAAAUAUCAUAUUUUUUUUUCAUUUAGUACUGCCCUUUAGAAGCUACAAAAGAGAGUUACAUGUUCUUCAGAAGACAAAAUAAGUUAAAUGUACCCUGAUCUUCAAGAACUUUUUAUGCGUUUUACUUGUUUUGGUUUUUUUUU